GUAUAGUUAAGUGACUAAGCGCACAAGGUGGAUGCCUUGGCAAUCAGAGGCGAAGAAGGACGUGCUAAUCUGCGAAAAGCUUGGAUGAGUUGAUAAGAAGCGUUUAAUCCAAGAUAUCCGAAUGGGGAAACCCAGUAGGUGAAGAACCUACUAUCACAUACUGAAUACAUAGGUAUGUGAGGCAAACCGGGAGAACUGAAACAUCUAAGUACCCCGAGGAAAAGAAAUCAACCGAGAUUUCGUUAGUAGCGGCGAGCGAACGCGAAAGAGCCAGUUAGUGAUAGCUUGAAUGUUAGGAGAAUGAGUUGGGAAGCUCAGCGGCACAGGGUGAUAGCCCCGUAUCCGAAAACAUUCUGGUGGUACUAGGCUAACAACAAGUAGGGCGGGACACGUGAUAUCCUGUU
rnacentral:rRNA from 1 species